UCCCCGAUUUCCGGGGCAGUCUCCCUAGAGUUCCCGGCAUGACCCGAUGGCAACUAGGGAUAGGGGUUGCGCUCGUUGCGGGACUUAACCCAACAUCUCACGACACGAGCUGACGACGGCCAUGCACCACCUAUCGCAGGCCCUUUCGGACACCACAUCUCUGUGGCUUUUCCUGCGUAGUUCAACCCAGGUAAGGUUCUUCGCGUUGCAUCGAAUUAAGCCACAUGCUCCGCCGCUUGUGCGGUCCCCGUCAAUUCCUUUGAGUUUUAGCCUUGCGGCCGUACUCCCCAGGCGGGGUGCUUAAUGCGUUAGCUGCGGCACGGAUCGCGUCGAUAGCGACCCACACCUAGCACCCGUCGUUUACGGCGUGGACUAC
rnacentral:misc_RNA from 1 species